rnacentral:misc_RNA from 1 species
UUUUACGAAAGUCGAACGGCUGGAAGCACUCAAGUUUUACUUCCGCAUUGGAACCACAGCUACAGUCGAAACUUUCAGUUAGUGUGCACACUGGAGCCGUGCAGACCACGUCGCGUAAUCACUGAGGACUCGGCCUUUAUGACUAAUUCUUCUUUUCUAGCGUUUUGGCGGCCUUUUUGUCGAACGCACGUUGACUUUUUGGAAGCAGACGUUACCGUACUACCCGCCAAAACCUUGAUGCAUGCUAGUUGCUACUGCGCUGGAUGGAUUGUUUUUCGAAACUAAGUUAACUCGCUUCAGCUGUUCAGCAUAGGACUUCUAGAUACUUGAAUUGGCCAUUGACCUGUCCUUUGGAAGCUCUUGUACCAGCAGCGGGUCUGCGUCGUCUGAGCCUGCCGUGUAGAUACUCCUCCUCCAGGCGGCAAGAUGACGGCUUUCUGUGGUUGUUGUGCGUCUUUGGUAACUGGAUGUUACGGGUGCCAUGGCAGGCACGAUGUCGAAAAGAGAGAAGCCACCAAACUCACGGAGCGGCUGUGGUUCAUCUUCGUUCUGCUGGUGUCGUUCACGUCACUGGCCAACAUGUUCUUCUGGCUGUCCGCGGUCAACGACUCGGCUGACUUCAACAGAGACCUUGCAGAGAUGACGGGCCUGUGGUGGCGCUAUUACAUCUUCUUCAUGGCUCUGUCAUGCGCCCUCUGCGGCUAUGCUGCUCUGCUCUUGAUCUUCGCAUUUUUACACAUUGCUAUUGGACAACAGUUACAACUGCACGGAGUACACAAGAUUGGAAUCAUACUGGAUCUGACCUUGUCCAUUGCUCUGCUUGUGUUUCCGUGUACGGUCCUCGGGUCCAGCUCACUGUGGCAUUUCGUACCCCAGGUUUUACAGUUUGCUGGACCUUUUCUGCACUUGGUUGGUGUGAUCAUCAUGACGGGGCUAAGCUGGUUUGUGGCCGGAGGAAUGGGAACCCUUCAACGCAAAGGGCUCCCAGUCCGUGACGUAGCCCUGUGGUACUUCCUAGCUCUUCUUGCUCUCUACAUUUCACCCGUGUUUAUCCGCUCCCCUUGCCUGCUGAAGUACGAGGAGCUACCGCCUAAGCCUUUGGUCUUUGCCUACAGGGGUGCUGAACAGCUUGCACCGGAAAACACCCCUGUUGCCUUUGAGCUUGCGCUAGACGUCUACCACGCUCACGGUAUCCACACCGACGUACGGAUAAGUUAUGACGGCGUGCCGUACAUCAUGCGUGACGAACGCCUCGGACGCACGACCAACGUGGCGGACGUGUUUCCCGAACGCUACGCGGACCACUCCGAUAGCUUUACACUGACUGAGCUGAAGCAGCUGAACGCAGGCUCCUGGUUCAUUACGUGCAAUCCGUUCGGAAGCGCCGGCAAGCUCACCGAGACCGAAAUGAUUCGCUACAGAAAGCAGAAAAUCCCAACCCUGGCGGAAAUGCUGCUUCAGGUGGAAGAGAGAAACAAGACUAUUUUAUUCGAUGUCCGGCCCCCACCUGACGACCACCCUUUCCACGAGGACUGGUUGAAUAUAACACUGCAGACGAUACUGGACUCGGUAUCGGGGGUCGCCGAAGAUGACGUGAACUUCUGGCAGACGCCAAACAAUGACACCAAGUACACCUUUGCGAUCAACACUUUCGACGAACGGAGACUGAUGACGGCAUAUAACGAUAUACCGUUCUUUGAAAUAAGGAGUAACGCAACUUUGAACGUAACAACCAAUGUUUGGACAGUCAACGAAGACUGGCUGUUCUCUUUAUUCUGGUGCGCAGGCGCAACUUCCAUCUCUACGUCAUCGUGUCAAAGGUUACGAACAGAAGACGCUCCUUUGUGGCAACUGAGCCCAGUUCACUUCCUGGUGAUGUGGAUCCUCUUUGAUGUCGUCUCCUUCGUUUGGGUCGUAAUUAUUUUUAUAAUACAAAUCAGCUCUAAAAGCAGAACCAAACCAGCCCGCCCUCAAGAGUCGGUCAGGCUCACAGCCGUGAGGGAGCACGUUGCGCGUGACGCACGGACGGAGCUCUGAGCAUGUAACGCAUGGUUUGUGCAUGUGAGUCCUAACAUUACUGACACAGGGUGGGGCUAUUGGUGGUCUAUUUCCGACACUGCCCUUACAUCUGAAAGCCGGAGAAAGCGCCGUCUGCAGCAGCAAGGAGACGAGCCACCGGAGCGGUACAAUUACCGGCACUUCAUGGCACUGGAGGAGCUGUCCAAGAACCAGAAGGCCGUGAUUCUUUAGCGACGUCUCCCCGGAGUGUGUAUACAACAGACAAGGCCUCCUCGAUUCCUGUCACUCCGGUGACAGCGUGAAGCGAAGUGAAAGAGAAUUGUGCCUGAACGAAAGACAGAUACUCGGCCUUAAUAGAAUGGGAUGUAAAUAAACCAAACAAGAAAGUCUCUAAUGGAUUUGUAUGCAGUACACUUUCUUGUAACCAAAACAAGCGGUUAUUUGCUGACCGAAUUAUGUCAAUAUCGUCUACUUUUUUUUUUACCGAAGGUCAAAUUGUACCGUUAAAGAAGGAUGGCUGGCGUAUAAUUUGGUCUGCUUGGUUGUCUGAGCCACAUGAAAUUGCCAUAAGACCGAUGUGCCAAAGGCUAGCAAUGCCUCGUAUGAUUUUUAAUCUGUAAAUAAAAAAGGAAGCUUUAUUAUAAUUGAUUUCACCAUACUAUGUGGUUUGUUUUUUCUGUAAAUAAAUAUCCCGAAAAUUGGCAUCUACGGUGGCAAGUGCUUGUAGCAGUCAAUUAAAGAGCCAUGCAAUGUAACUUUUUUAAUGCAAUCCUUGAAAAUGCACCUUUAUGUCCCAUUAACCUUAUUUCAUUUUGGGGGCCAUUUUCAAGGAUAUUUUGGUGCCCUUUAUGCUAAUGCAAAUGUCCAUGUUCAUGUGCAAAAGUAUAGUGUGAUGUCAUUAUUCAGGCAGAAACCUCGAUGUUAUAGCUAUUUCAGCGCAAAAGUUGCCACACUUUUGGAUAUGUUGCCGUUGAAGCUUUUCUUUCCUCUGAUUUGUUGUGUCAGUACAUGGCAGCAAGCCAAUGAGCAAAUAUUUUUCACAAAUGUUUUCAAUGAACACAUUUUUGGGUUCCAUUGUAACGAAAACACCAAAAGUGAACAGCGUCUUCAUGAAAGGACAUCACAGCAACAACGCCCUCGGUUGUCCGGAAAAGCGUGGAACCUUGUUUUAUGUUUUAAAAAAGUGCACUUUUUAUUAAAAUGAACAAAAAAAAGAUGUCAAAUAGUUUUCAUACAUUUCACAGGAGUAGAAAGUUGCAAAAAAAGUGUGAAUGGUGAGAAUCUGGAGGGCAAGACGCAGUCUUGUUUUGCAUAAUUUAUCGCCGAAUCUGCUCGCAUAUCAUAGACCCUUGCCGGGGCCCCGGCUAUAUUACCGAGUUCAUACAAAUUAAAGCGUUCAACUUAAAUGUACGGCACGCAUGGUAAAGUGUACAGUCUGUAAAUUAAAAUUUGAGGACAUUAUUUUUGGGUUGCUGUUUAGUAGUGUGUACUGUAAACUGUAAAAAAAAAAUAGACAUCAUCUACUCAGAGAUGAUGCAAUAAUGAAGUGUAAUACAUGUCCAUUAUGUUUGUUUUUUUUUAUCGUUCGUGCAAUAUUUCGAGAGCUAGAAUGUAUCAGAUUAAUACCGCAACUGUUGGCGUCAUAUCUGCUCAGGUGAUCUUAAUCAAGUUUGUGAAGUGUUAAGUGAAAGACUUUUCAUGCAUACACGAAGCCCAGCUUCUUGCCGUUUUUAACCGUAGUCAAGACACGUUCACACCUCGUGUUCUUGCUUUCAUCUGGUUCAGCAGAGGAUGAGAUUGCUAGUAGGCCUACUCAUCAGUAUUUGGGUUAGAGAAUGAGCACAGAGUGCGACGACUGGUUGUGAGAAUAGCAGCGUACAGAAUAAGGCGAAGUUAUGUUCAACUGCCCUGCGAACUUAUUACGCGGGACUUAGCUUAGUUUAAGUAACGUGUCACCAAGGUUUGAAAUAAGCCCAUACUCACUUAAUUCACUUAAGUAAAUGUUGGUAAAUGGGUAAGUGUGCCAUGCCAUUUCAUUUUUAACCACGCCCACUACACACACGCAGUAGCAUUAAAAAGCAUUGGGUCCUGAGAACCAGAAGUAGUACAACUGCAAAGGGACGUGUUAAGCCAAUGGGCGCGUGUUUGACGCAGUCUGUCUUACGAACCGGAUAGACCACAGGUGUCAUAUACGCGCAGGCCGCACGCAGAUGGCGAGCGCGGGCGCAGUGCUUUCUUGACCAAUAGGGUUUCUAAAUAACACGCGCGCCUCAACUUCAGGACGCGUCUGGCAUUCGUGUGAGCGCGGCCGGCACCGCAUCGAUAUUUAAUAGCGACCGUCAGAUUUAAUCUAUCUCGCUGUUCGAGUAACCUUUUACUUUUCAAUCAACUAUUCGCGAUUCGCCAGUUUCUUCUUUUUAAUUAUCAAAUUAUACGAAACGAUAUACAUCGAAGGUCGGCUGUCGUGUUGAUAUUAAAAUGUAAUCAUGUUUCCCACUAACCUUUACCUGUCAUUAAGUGCAUGCAGCACGGGCAGGUUUCGACUUUGAGAGUCCGUGAUUUAAUAUUUUUUUUAAGAGAGCUGGAACCUCGCAGGGAAAUAUCGUUUGGAAGAUUGAAAACGGCAAUAAGAUAAAUGAAUCGUGUACGUUGCCAUAACAUGACUUCCUCUGUCACUAAUGGUGCUCUAAAAAUAAAUUGAAUUUGACCUGGAGGUGUUUUUGUUCCUUAAAUGUAGUUCGAGAAAUAUAAAUUCAACUUAAAAUAUCCAUCCAUUUCGAUUUCUCAACUGUAUGUUAUAAAUUUUGUAGCACUUGUGUAUGCUCCAUGUAUAAAUGACAUGCACGUGCAACUCAUUGUGCAGUGAUUUUGUAAAUAAUUCUUUUUCUGAAAAUCAAAAAGAAACAGUUGUAUAAACAAGGUGUCUUGGCACAAAUAAAGAUAUGGGGAAUUAAAA